AGAGUUUGAUCCUGGCUCAGGACGAACGCUGGCGGCGUGCCUAAUACAUGCAAGUCGAGCGAGCUGAAUUCAAAGAUUCCUUCGGGAUGACUUGUUGGACGCUAGCGGCGGAUGGGUGAGUAACACGUGGGCAAUCUGCCCUAAAGACUGGGAUACCACUUGGAAACAGGUGCUAAUACCGGAUAACAACAUGAAUCGCAUGAUUCAAGUUUGAAAGGCGGCGCAAGCUGUCACUUUAGGAUGAUCCCGCGGCGCAUUAGCUAGUUGGUGGGGUAAAGGCCUACCAAGGCAC
rnacentral:rRNA from 1 species